rnacentral:rRNA from 1 species
GACGAACGCUGGCGGCGUGCUUAACACAUGCAAGUCGAACGGAAAGGCCCUGCUUUUGUGGGGUGCUCGAGUGGCGAACGGGUGAGUAACACGUGAGUAACCUGCCCUUGACUUUGGGAUAACUUCAGGAAACUGGGGCUAAUACCGGAUAGGAGCUCCUGCUGCAUGGUGGGGGUUGGAAAGUUUGGGGGGUUGGGUAUGGACUGGGGGAUAAUCAGCUUGUUGGUGGGGUAGUGGCUUACCAAGGCUUGGACGGGUAGCCGGCCUGGGAGGGUGACCGGCCCCAUAGGGCUUGGGAAGCGGCCAGAGGGCAUCGGGGGGAAAGGGGGGGAGACUUGACCAAAAAGGGCGGGGGCGUGAAGGAGGAUCGCCGGGUGGGAAAGGAGGUUUUUGGGGUAGAAAGCGGGUUACGCUGGUAACGAGCUGGAGUGACGGUAACUGCGUAAAAAGGCACGGCUAACUUCGUG